rnacentral:rRNA from 1 species
UACGGUAGGGUGCAAGCGUUGUCCGGAAUUAUUGGGCGUAAAGAGCUCGUAGGCGGUUUGUCGCGUCUGCUGUGAAAACCCGAGGCUCAACCUCGGGCCUGCAGUGGGUACGGGCAAACUAGAGUGCGGUAGGGGAGAAUGGAAUUCCUGGUGUAGCGGUGGAAUGCGCAGAUAUCAGGAGGAACACCGAUGGCGAAGGCAG